GAAACAGGUUAAUAUUCCUGUACUUGGUGUUACUGCGAAGGGGGGACGGAGAAGGCUAUGUUAGCCGGGCGACGGUUGUCCCGGUUUAAGCAUGUAGGCGGAGGUUCCAGGUAAAUCCGGUACCUUUUAACGCUGAGGUGUGAUGACGAGGCAUUACGGUGCUGAAGUAACAAAUGCCCUGCUUCCAGGAAAAGCCUCUAAGCAUCAGGUAACAUUGAAUCGUACCCCAAACCGACACAGGUGGUCAGGUAGAGAAUACCAAGGCGCUUGAGAGAACUCGGGUGAAGGAACUAGGCAAAAUGGUGCCGUAACUUCGGGAGAAGGCACGCUGAUAUGUAGGUGAAGUCCCUGCGGAUGGAGCUGAAAUCAGUCGAAGAUACCAGCUGGCUGCAACUGUUUAUUAAAAACACAGCACUGUGCAAACACGAAAGUGGACGUAUACGGUGUGACGCCUGCCCGGUGCCGGAAGGUUAAUUGAUGGGGUUAUCCGUAAGGAGAAGCUCUUGAUCGAAGCCCCGGUAAACGGCGGCCGUAACUAUAACGGUCCUAAGGUAGCGAAAUUCCUUGUCGGGUAAGUUCCGACCUGCACGAAUGGCGUAAUGAUGGCCAGGCUGUCUCCACCCGAGACUCAGUGAAAUUGAACUCGCUGUGAAGAUGCAGUGUACCCGCGGCAAGACGGAAAGACCCCGUGAACCUUUACUAUAGCUUGACACUGAACAUUGAGCCUUGAUGUGUAGGAUAGGUGGGAGGCUUUGAAGCGUGGACGCCAGUCUGCGUGGAGCCAACCUUGAAAUACCACCCUUUAAUGUUUGAUGUUCUAACGUUGGCCCCUGACCGGGGUUGCGGACAGUGUCUGGUGGGUAGUUUGACUGGGGCGGUCUCCUCCCAAAGAGUAACGGAGGAGCACGAAGGUUAGCUAAUCCUGGUCGGACAUCAGGAGGUUAGUGCAAUGGCAUAAGCUAGCUUGACUGCGAGCGUGACGGCGCGAGCAGGUGCGAAAGCAGGUCAUAGUGAUCCGGUGGUUCUGAAUGGAAGGGCCAUCGCUCAACGGAUAAAAGGUACUCCGGGGAUAACAGGCUGAUACCGCCCAAGAGUUCAUAUCGACGGCGGUGUUUGGCACCUCGAUGUCGGCUCAUCACAUCCUGGGGCUGAAGUAGGUCCCAAGGGUAUGGCUGUUCGCCAUUUAAAGUGGUACGCGAGCUGGGUUUAGAACGUCGUGAGACAGUUCGGUCCCUAUCUGCCGUGGGCGCUGGAGAAUUGAGGGGGGCUGCUCCUAGUACGAGAGGACCGGAGUGGACGCAUCACUGGUGUUCGGGUUGUCAUGCCAAUGGCAUUGCCCGGUAGCUAAAUGCGGAAGAGAUAAGUGCUGAAAGCAUCUAAGCACGAAACUUGCCCCGAGAUGAGUUCUCCCUGAGACUUUAAGUCUCCUGAAGGAACGUUAAAGACGAUGACGUUGAUAGGUCGGGUGUGUAAGCGUAGCGAUACGUUGAGCUAACCGAUACUAAUGAACCGUGAGGCUUAACCUU
rnacentral:rRNA from 1 species